rnacentral:rRNA from 1 species
UACGUAGGGGGCGAGCGUUGUCCGGAAUCAUUGGGCGUAAAGAGCGUGUAGGCGGCUUGGCAAGUCUGACGUGAAAGCCCGCGGCUCAACCGCGGAUUGUCGUUGGAAACUGCCUCGCUAGAGUCCGGAAGAGGAGAGCGGAAUUCCUGGUGUAGCGGUGAAAUGCGCAGAUAUCAGGAAGAACACCAAUGGCGAAAGCAGCUCUCUGGGACGGUACUGACGCUGAGACGCGAAAGCGUGGGGAGCGAACAGG